AUUGAACGCUGGCGGCAGGCCUAACACAUGCAAGUCGAACGGUAACAGGAAGAAGCUUGCUUCUUUGCUGACGAGUGGCGGACGGGUGAGUAAUGUCUGGGAAACUGCCUGAUGGAGGGGGAUAACUACUGGAAACGGUAGCUAAUACCGCAUAAUGUCGCAAGACCAAAGAGGGGGACCUUCGGGCCUCUUGCCAUCGGAUGUGCCCAGAUGGGAUUAGCUAGUAGGUGGGGUAACGGCUCACCGAGGCGACGAUCCCUAGCUGGUCUGAGAGGAUGACCAGCCACACUGGAACUGAGACACGGUCCAGACUCCUACGGGAGGCAGCAGUGGGGAAUAUUGCACAAUGGGCGCAAGCCUGAUGCAGCUAUGCCGCGUGUAUGAAGAAGGCCUUCGGGUUGUAAAGUACUUUCAGCGGGGAGGAAGGGAGUAAAGUUAACACCUUUGCUCAUUGACGUUACCCGCAGAAGAAGCACCGGCUAACUCCGUG
rnacentral:rRNA from 1 species